rnacentral:rRNA from 1 species
AGGACGAACGCUGGCGGCGUGCUUAACACAUGCAAGUCGAGCGGUAAGGCCUUUCGGGGUACACGAGCGGCGAACGGGUGAGUAACACGUGGGUGAUCUGCCCUGCACUUCGGGAUAAGCCUGGGAAACUGGGUCUAAUACCGGAUAUGACCUCCUAUCGCAUGGUGGGUGGUGGAAAGAUUUAUCGGUGCAGGAUGGGCCCGCGGCCUAUCAGCUUGUUGGUGGGGUAAUGGCCUACCAAGGCGACGACGGGUAGCCGACCUGAGAGGGUGACCGGCCACACUGGGACUGAGACACGGCCCAGACUCCUACGGGAGGCAGCAGUGGGGAAUAUUGCACAAUGGGCGAAAGCCUGAUGCAGCGACGCCGCGUGAGGAUGACGGCCUUCGGGUUGUAAACCUCUUUCAGCAGGACGAAGCGCAAGUGACGGUACCUGCAGAAGAAGACACCGCAACUACGUGCCAGCAGCCGA